ACACAAAACUAAGGCCCAAAUGACCAACAGCUUUUGAUUUCUCCAUUGAAUUUGAUAGAAGGAGCUCGAACUCACUCAUGGGUGUGGGGAGUCGAAAGUUCACGAUUCUCAUUUUAGGGUAAGUGAAAAUGAAUUCAGCCUUCUUUCCUCCCUCCUGGGAAUAGAGAUAGCAGCCAAAGCAUCAACUGAUCCUACAACCUACCUCUUCGAAGGAAGAAUCUGAACCCAGUUUCAAACCGCUACGUGGACUAAAAGAGAUGCCUCUCUCCCUUCCAAUCGACCCUCUCGCUUUAUUUAGCUUAGCUCUCCUCUCUUCCAUUCUUGGGAUCGUCAACCUAGUUUCCAGAAGUUCCAACAAGAGGAGAAAGAGGAAAGCAAGGAAUUUUUCGGAUUUCUUUCUUUCGAUGCGAGUUCAGGUCUCACGACGAAACAAGGGAAAGUCACUAUUAAGGAAAUUGCAGAAUAAGGGAUAUUCGCUUUUUUUUUUCAAACAUGUUGGAAAGUACCUUCCUUAAGCAACCUCCUCUAACUGCAAGCAUAUUGGAAUGAAAUCGACCAAUUACCUGUUUUCUAAUUUUUUUAUGAAAACUAAGGUUUCAUUGAAGGACGAUGCUGACAAAGUAAAGAAUUUAACCGUAACAUACUAGCAAGCGUUUUAUUUUAGGAUUUUAGGCAAGAUGAAGAGCAAUCCGGCGAGAUAAUGUUAAGCGAGAAGGAUGUAAGAGAACUAACCUAGAGACCACUAUAACAAGACUAGGCGAGAGAUAAAGCACUAGCAAACAAAAGAGUAGUUGGCACGAAACCUGCAGCAGGUGUGAAUAUCUGUAGAGCUAAUAAGGUACCGUUGUGGCGCUUACUCAGCUUUAUCAGAAUUAAUUAGAACCCAUGUUUGCUUGCUCCCAUACCGUCCUGUCACAUCACUUUUCACCUAUAAAUAAGAGGCUUCUCUCCUUCAUUGGACGUGUGCGAAUUUCGACAAACUAAAUUAUAGAGAGUAAAUGCUUUUUCCCUCCAUUCCUUUCUCUGUUUUAGGUAAGUGUCUGAAAAAGAGAGAGAGAUUCCCCUAUUCCAUUUCCCCUUCGUGUAAAGCAAACCCGGAGCCAAAGAGUAUGAACACUCAUACUUUGUGACUUGCUUCACUUUUAUGUGUCCCAUUUGUGUAUUUUGUAACAUUGAUUUGUAAUAUUAACUCCAUGGUCGAGAGGCCUAAAGCUUUAUUUAUAUUAUCAAUGUUUUCUUUCUAUCAUUCUUCUA